rnacentral:lncRNA from 1 species
CGCGCCCGCAUCUUAUCUUUAAGCUGGCUCCAUCUUCUCAACUGCACCAGCAGCUAGUGCCCCAGCCACCUAUCCACCUAAGACGAGCCCAAGGGCCCUCCACGGGGAGGACACGCACUGCGGGUGACAUCCCCAGAGCGUCAGCACUGCUGCUCACUGGUCUGGAUGGAGCCAGCUGCAAGGACAGAGAGCCCCCAAGAGGAAAAGCAGCGCUGGGCUCAGCUGCGCCAGCAACACGGUGCGGGGACAUGGGUGCACCUCAUAGGUGAAGAGACACUGUGGAGCCCAGCCCCACCGACAGCUGGGAAAACAGGCCCAGCAAGAGCGAGAGACCAGUGCAGGCCCCCAAAGCUGCUCUCCAUUUCCCCAGCACCUGUCCCACAAAUGAAACUGUCAACACAACCUUUCGGGGAAGCCAGCAUGAGUGGAGGAGCUGUUUUAAGCCAGCCACAGAAUGGAAGAAUGCAGGGAGAGCUGGGGGCCGCCGCCCGAGACUGAGGUGCAGACUGGGCGCUCCAGCAAAGGGAUAAACAGCACUGCACUCCCCAAGCAUGGUCACACAGCUCUUCUCUACACACCUGAUGCUGUCUACCCACAGGCCCCAGACCCAACACAGGGGAGCCUUGUGCACUAAUGGACUGAACCUAGUGCUAGGCCCGAGGUGGGAAUGGUAGGGUAUUCCCCCUGGGACGGCCAGGGCGGAUGGCAGGGCCCAUAUCACUCCAGCCCUCAGCCCAGUCCUGGCUGCAGCACCAGCCCAUCUCAGCCGAACCUCAGAAGCAAGGGACAGAAGGAAAUGGGACGCUGCCUUGGAUGGCAACAAUCAGGACCACAGGAUAGCCACUGGCCUCAUGGACCUGGGGUGGCUUACUUCCCUCCCUGUGCAGAGACAUGGACCCUCGUCUACACCACACACCCCAUCCCCCAUCUAGCAGGACCAGGCUUGGGCUGCAGACCCUGCGGACAGCUUCCCUGACCUAAGCCCCUCCAGCACACCCUGGCUCUGGGGACUAAAGAUGCCCACCCUAAAGGGGGCCCACUGGCUCUGGCUGAGGGCUCAGUACUCCAAGGCCACAGUGGGAAGGUGACCAAACCCCACGAUGACCUUCUCAUUGCCGAACUUGGCUUGAUUGGUGCAAAACAAUCAUGUAUCUCCCUGGAAACAUCCAGAAACACUGGCCAGUGUUGUGGGGAGAGUCUGGCAGCCAUGCUCAGGAGAGCAGAGACCUUGGUGCUGGGCCUGUGCCAUCUGCCCCAGCCGCAGGGUGCACCCUGCAUUUGCCCUGGGGGGAAGUGCCCUAGGCCCGCAGGUCAUGGCCUCGGCAUCUCAGGUGUCUCAAGAGCAACCCGGGAUAUGCUCCAGGCAGAGCACAGAAGGCCCAGGCCCACUCCCCUGACAUGGUGGACUCUGGCCUAUGACAGGAGCCAGUCUGGAUACAAGGGAUCCUGGCCCAGAACCAAAGAGGGCUGCUUUUCAGAUGGUAACUCAAAAUGCUGUUUUUAUAUUCAAG